UAACCGCUAACGAUCAUCGUGUAUGUUG
rnacentral:ncRNA from 1 species